AUUGAACGCUGGCGGCAUGCUUUACACAUGCAAGUCGAACGGUAACAGCACUUCGGUGGCUGACGAGUGGCGAACGGGUGAGUAAUACAUCGGAACGUGCCUAGUAGUGGGGGAUAACUACUCGAAAGAGUAGCUAAUACCGCAUGAGAUCUAAGGAUGAAAGCAGGGGACCUUCGGGCCUUGCGCUACUAGAGCGGCUGAUGGCAGAUUAGGUAGUUGGUGGGAUAAAAGCUUACCAAGCCGACGAUCUGUAGCUGGUCUGAGAGGACGACCAGCCGCACUGGGACUGAGACACGGCCCAGACUCCUACGGGAGGCAGCAGUGGGGAAUUUUGGACAAUGGGCGCAAGCCUGAUCCAGCAAUGCCGCGUGCAGGAUGAAGGCCUUCGGGUUGUAAACUGCUUUUGUACGGAACGAAAAGCCCUCUUCUAAUACAGGAGGGUCAUGACGGUACCGUAAGAAUAAGCACCGGCUAACUACGUG
rnacentral:rRNA from 1 species